UACGAAGGGGGCUAGCGUUGUUCGGAAUCACUGGGCGUAAAGCGCACGUAGGCGGAUCUUUAAGUCAGGGGUGAAAUCCCGAGGCUCAACCUCGGAACUGCCUUUGAUACUGGCAAUCUCGAGUCCGGAAGAGGUUGGUGGAACAGCUAGUGUAGAGGUGAAAUUCGUAGAUAUUAGCUAGAACACCAGUGGCGAAGGCGGCCAACUGGUCCGGUACUGACGCUGAGGUGCGAAAGCGUGGGAGCAACAGGG
rnacentral:rRNA from 1 species